GCUUAGAAGCAGCCAUUCCUUUAAAGAGUGCGUAAUAGCUCACUAGUCAAGCGACUCGGCGUCGAUAAUAAGCGGGCAUAAGCCGUUUGCCGAAGCUGUGGGAUUGAAAAAUCGGUAGGGGAGCAUUCCAGUUGCGUCGAAGUUGACCUGCGAGGGUUGGUGGAGCGGCUGGAAGCGAAACUGUAGGCAUGAGUAACGAUAAGAAGGGUGAAAAACCCUUCCACCGU
rnacentral:rRNA from 1 species